rnacentral:lncRNA from 1 species
AUGUCACUGACUCUAAUGUGGUCAAAAAAUUACCUGUUGCAGUUGCUGGUUGGUCUCAGACCAAAUAUUGGUAAGAAAAUCAAGAGAGGCUUCUCCUUCAGAGCUAAGGUGAUCCCUCAGAUCCGUUCCUGGAUAAACUCUGAAGAACUGAGCUCCGUUCCUCGCCCGCCGCUGGCUGAGCAGGUGGGACGUCACAGCGGUGCUAGUUCCAUAAAGUGCCUACAGUUCUCCAUCUGGAACAAAGGAAUAAGUCUAGCUUUCAUGGCAAGAAUAAAGAACUGGUGUCCCAAAGCAGGCGUGGACAGAGGGGCCAUUUAAAGCACCCAUUUGGAAACCUGAAGGAUAAAGUAUGUCUUAAAUAACACCUCCUUCUGUGGAUUUAAGACUCGAGGAGGUGGGAGUGUACCCAAGCAGAGCACGUGCUGUUGGCCCAAUCAUGGUCAGACAGCUCACCCAUCUCUUGCAUAAGCAAAGACGCUUUUAAAAUUCAAAUGGAUCCCUGGAUCCUCAGAUUCACGCCGUGCCUGAAGGAGCACAACACAAAAUCUCUGAUACUGUUUCUUUCAGUAUUGUCAGACCACAAGAAAGGUUUGCUUGUGUCAAAGAAAUGCAGGAGUGCACUGGGGUUAAGAAUCCCGUUCUCUCUGCUGCACUGGGUGUCUGUGAGCGAGGCGGGCUAUGGCUGUCAGAGAGAGACCUGUGGAGGAACCCAGCCAGAUGGGAUGUGCCCGGGCUGCUUUCCACGGAGCCGUGCUCUGUGCCGCUGCUGCGCCGCGCUCACCUGGUACCGCCCCGGCCUGCGGAGCAGCAGCAGCGUCCCCGGAGGAGCCGAGGCUGCGGGAAGGUGA